UACGUAGGGGGCGAGCGUUGUCCGGAAUCAUUGGGCGUAAAGAGCGUGUAGGCGGCUUGGCAAGUCUGACGUGAAAGCCCGCGGCUCAACCGCGGAUUGUCGUUGGAAACUGCCUCGCUAGAGUCCGGAAGAGGAGAGCGGAAUUCCUGGUGUAGCGGUGGAAUGCGCAGAUAUCGGGAAGAACACCCGUGGCGAAGGCGGCACUCUGGGACGGUACUGACGCUGAGACGCGAAAGCGUGGGGAGCGAACAGG
rnacentral:rRNA from 1 species